rnacentral:rRNA from 1 species
UACGUAGGUGGCAAGCGUUGUCCGGAAUUAUUGGGCGUAAAGCGCGCGCAGGCGGUCCUUUAAGUCUGAUGUGAAAGCCCACGGCUCAACCGUGGAGGGUCAUUGGAAACUGGGGGACUUGAGUGCAGGAGAGAAGAGUGGAAUUCCACGUGUAGCGGUGAAAUGCGUAGAGAUGUGGAGGAACACCCGUGGCUAAGGCGGCUCUCUAGUACGGUACUGACGCUGAGACGCGAAAGCGUGGGGAGCGAACGGG